rfam:Danio rerio chromosome 4, GRCz11 reference primary assembly.
GCCUGGCUAGCUCAGUUGGUAGAGCAUGAGACUCUAAAUCUCAGGGUCGUGGGUUAGAGCCCCAUAUUGAGCG